rnacentral:rRNA from 1 species
UACGAAUCGUCCUAACGUUGUUCGGAUUCACUGGGUUUAAAGGGUGCGUAGGCGGUGCGUUAAGUCGGUGGUGAAAUACUUCGGCUCAACCGGAGAAUUGCCGCUGAAACUGGCGUGCUCGAGGGAGGUAGAGGUGCAUGGAACUUCCGGUGGAGCGGUGAAAUGCGUUGAUAUCGGAAGGAACACCUGUGGCGAAAGCGGUGCACUGGACCUCUUCUGACGCUGAGGCACGAAAGCCAGGGGAGCGAACGGG